rnacentral:rRNA from 1 species
AUUGAACGCUGGCGGCAGGCCUAACACAUGCAAGUCGAACGAGUGGCGGACGGGUGAGUAAUGUCUGGGAAACUGCCUGAUGGAGGGGGAUAACUACUGGAAACGGUAGCUAAUACCGCAUACCAUCGGAUGUGCCCAGUGGGGAUUAGCUAGUAGGUGGGGGAAAGGCUCACCUAGGCGACGAGCCCUAGCUGGUCUGAGAGGAUGACCCGCCACACUGGAACUGAGACACGGUCCAGACUCCUACGGGAGGCAGCAGUGGGGAAUAUUGCACAAUGGGCGCAAGCCUGAUGCAGCCAUGCCGCGUGGAUGAAGAAGGCGUUCGGGUUGUAAAGUACUUUUAGCGGGGAGGCGGUACCCGCAGAAGAAGCACCGGCUAACUACGUGCCAGCAGCCGCGGUAAUUC